rnacentral:rRNA from 1 species
CGGGGCUUAAAGUCUUGUAAUUGGAAUGAUGGGAAUUUAAACCUCUUCCAGAGUAUCAAUUGGAGGGCAAGUCUGGUGCCAGCAGCCGCGGUAAUUCCAGCUCCAAUAGCGUAUAUUAAAAUUGUUGCAGUUAAAAAGCUCGUAGUUGAAUUUCUGCUGCAUUGCUUGUGUCCCUCUGGGGUCUGUGCAUGUGGCUUUUUUCGGACGGAGUUUCUUUGUCUGAAUGUUUACUUUGAGAAAAUUAGAGUGCUCAAAGCAGGCUUCCGCCUUGAAUAGUUUAGCAUGGAAUAAUAAAGUAGGACUUUGGUUCUAUUUUGUUGGUUUUAGGUACCAAAGUAAUGGUUAAUAGGAACAGUUGGGGGCAUUCGUAUUUAACUGUCAGAGGUGAAAUUCUUAGAUUUGUUAAAGACGAACUACUGCGAAAGCAUUUGCCAAGGAUGUUUUCAUUAAUCAAGAAC